rnacentral:rRNA from 1 species
UACGGGGGGAGCAAGCGUUGUUCGGAUUUACUGGGCGUAAAGGGCUCGUAGGUGGCCAACUAAGUCAGACGUGAAAUCCCUCGGCUUAACCGGGGAACUGCGUCUGAUACUGGAUGGCUUGAGUUUGGGAGAGGGACGCGGAAUUCCAGGUGUAGCGGUGAAAUGCGUAGAUAUCAGGAGGAACACCGGUGGCGAAAGCGGCUUCCUGGCCCGACAUUGACGCUCAUGUACGAGAGCGUGGGGAGCAAACAGG